GAAGGUUCUUAGAUUGGGUGAAAAUUCUUGAAGCAUGGUGGCUUUUUAUUUAAAUAACUUUUAUAACAUAGAUUAUAAAUAAAAUUCAAUGGUCUAAUGGUGAGUAUAUAUUCCUAUUUUUGUUCAGGGUCUUUUGGUUAGGAAGAGAAAGUAAGAAGAGAAAUAAAGAUGAGAAAGAGUAUGAAAAGAAAAAAAUAUGAGAAAAAUAG
rnacentral:lncRNA from 1 species